AGCGCCUCGCGUCCCAGCAGAGCCAGACGAGCAUCCCACUCAGGUGAUGAGGAACCCUUCGCGCACCCAGCACACAGCGCUGCUGCCGCUGGACGCCUCCAUUGUUUGACCAUAACAAGGGCCGGAUUCUCACCCAGGAUCCUAAGGCUUUUGUUGCCCUUCAGCCACUGUGGGCCCUGCCUCUGCCUCUUCUUCUGGAAUGUCUUGGGGGUUUUGGCUUCUGUCACUUGACCUGCAACUCCAAGAGACACAUCUGUCUGGAAGAUAAGAGCUCCUUCCUCAAGACCAGAAAAGUAUUUGUAUUUACGUUUCUGUUACAGGCGGCUGGAGUGAUACGUGUGUGGGGAGCCUUCACAAGGAAGGACUGGCGUACCUGGACCCGAGGAGCUUGCUUCCUGCGAGGGCUCCUGUCUGAUGCGCAGGAGGCAGAAUGUCACAGUGACUCUGCGAGGGGAGGCCCCAGGGGACCGAGAGCAGCACACAGUGUCUCACCCUCUGCCACGAGGGGCGCUGUGCAGUCCUUUUCCUACAAGUGAGAAGUACCAGGCUGUUCUCCAAGAGGAAGAGUCCAGGGGCUUAGAAACACAGAGGCUUGCACCUUGGGAGCCCCUUGGAAUGUUGACAACUCAGGAUCUAAAAGAAAGUGCUGUGUUAAUGAGUUACAGAGUUCAUGUGGACGUAAAUGUCACUUUAUAACCAAUAACGAUACUGAGUGAGGAACACUAUGCAGGAAGAAACCUUCCAUAGGAAGGCAGGCAGGGUGAAGCUGAGGCUGACCUUAAACCUACCGAGCAGAGCGAGCCUGGGAUAAGCGCCAACAUGGCCGAGUGAGAGACUCUGCACAGUAGCGGUCCUGUAGCUAGAGCAGUUGUAAGGAAAUUUUCCCCUCUAAAUCACGAUACCAAAUAGGAAAAAUGAUCUACAAGUGCCCCAUGUGUAGAGAAUUCUUCUCUGAGAGAGCAGAUCUUUUUAUGCAUCAGAAAGUCCACACUGCUGAGAAGCCCCACAAAUGCGACAAGUGUGAUAAGGGCUUCUUUCACAUAUCAGAGCUCCACAUUCACUGGAGGGACCACACGGGAGAGAAGGUCUAUAAGUGUGACGACUGCGGUAAGGAUUUUAGUACUACAACGAAACUUAACAGACAUAAGAAAAUCCACACGGUGGAGAAGCCCUAUAAAUGUUAUGAGUGUGGCAAAGCCUUCAAUUGGAGCUCACAUCUUCAAAUUCACAUGAGAGUUCAUACAGGUGAGAAACCCUAUGUCUGUAGUGAGUGCGGAAGAGGCUUUAGCAAUAGUUCAAACCUUUGCAUGCAUCAGAGAGUCCACACCGGAGAGAAGCCCUUUAAAUGUGAAGAGUGUGGGAAGGCCUUCAGGCACACUUCCAGCCUCUGCAUGCAUCAAAGGGUGCACACAGGAGAGAAGCCCUACAAGUGUUACGAGUGUGGGAAGGCCUUCAGCCAGAGCUCGAGCCUCUGCAUCCACCAGAGGGUGCACACCGGCGAGAAGCCCUAUAGGUGCUGUGGGUGUGGGAAGGCCUUCAGCCAGAGCUCCAGCCUCUGCAUCCACCAGAGGGUGCACACCGGCGAGAAGCCUUUUAAAUGUGAUGAGUGUGGGAAGGCCUUCAGUCAGAGCACUAGCCUCUGCAUCCACCAGAGAGUGCACACAAAGGAGAGAAACCAUCUCAAAAUAUCAGUUAUAUAAAGCGUUUCGCUAAGAGUUAAAAAUCUUAAAACCCGUAAGUGCCACUAGGAAGGAAACCCUGUAAAUACCUACAUUGACCCAAGAAAUCUUUACAGCAAGCCCCAGCAGAACACUGUUUUCGAGGAGGCAUGUGUGAGCUUGAUUUUGGGGAUUCAGGCCAAGUGUGUUCCGCAGCUUGACUUUGAAGCUGGGGUCCCUCCGAGCACCUGCCCAGGACAGGCUGUGAGGCCCCAGUUGUGGACGUGUGUUUCCUGGGGUUCUGGCGCGAUGCUCCAGUAGCUGAAAUACUGCCCGGGAACCUGUGAUCACUGCCCAGCCUCCUGGGUCACCUAUGCUUUCCCUAACAGUUGCCCCAGGUAUCAUAUCCACGCCCCCUCUCCCGGUUUCGGGAGCUCAAGACCUUCCUUCUCUUGCCUCGAGCAUACUGGUGAACGCGUUUGGGAACGGCCAGCUCCCACCGAGUAGUGUCCUGGUAUUUCUGAGGUUAACACUUGAUCCAGCCUCUACAUGUCUGUCCAUAUAUCCCAUUAUUUCUGAACUCACUUUACCUGUGUGUUCUCAAAACACCCAUAGAUACCCACCCCUUCCUAGAUGGCAUUAAAUUCCAUUUUAGAUUUCAGGCGACUCAUAAUUUCCAUUCACUUUGCCUGUCAGAGAAAUUGGCAGACAUACAUGCCCUUGAACCUUCCUUGAACUCUUUUUAAUUUUGUGAAUUCUGCUAAUCACUGUGUCUCUGUUUAGUCAGACUUAAUUUUCUAGUGGCUACAUCACAUAUUUUUAACUUGAAUUUUUUUUUUUUUUUUGAAAUAGCUGAAUGUAAAUAGGGAGGAAGAAGCAAGCAAAGUUAGAACUUUUCUCCAUCCAGAAUUGCCCUCUUGGGCUCCUCCGGCGACGCGCGGGGCUCCUCCCCAGCUCGGGGAGGCCGUGGGAGGCAGGAGGCGUCGCUAACUAGUCUCUGUUUCUGUAAUUUUGGGCGAUGAGGUGUCGGAGUCCUCGACACCCCUUCACUGAGGAGGGUGUACCAGUUCCCGUUCAGGCGUGAAUGUUUCUGUUAGUCUCUCCUUUUCUUCAUCCAUUCAACAAGCAUUGACGGAACGCCGCCCGUGUGCCGGGCGCUGCGCUGGGCGCUGGGAGCAGCGCGGAGGAAGACAGACAAGGGCCCUCCUCUCGUGGAGUUGCUUCUGCUGGAGGAGACGGAUGAUGAGCGAACAAUAACGUAGUUUGAGAUAGUGAUUAAGUGCUAUGAGGAACAUAAACUAGGGUGACGAUUUAGCGCGGUGGGGGGUGGGGGCGGGGGGCGUUAGUAGCGGUCAGGGAGGCCUUCCUGGGGGCGGCCGGGCGGCGGGCGCAGGCGCUGCGGGGCCGGGCGGGGGCGGCCUUGCCCGCCAGCGCGGAGCGGGAGGCCGGCGGCCGGGCCCGAGUGUAGUGAGCAGUGGGGAGGGGGCGAGGUACUGAGCUGCUCAGUAUCCUGACAUUUAUAGGCCUUUUUUUUUUUUCCGGCUAGAUUGAUGUUAAAAACUCAUGUGGAGGAACUCAAGGAAUGUUUAGAAGACCAAAAGUCCCCAAUGACAAGAACAAAAAGCAACUAAUUUUUAACUUUGUUUUUCUUCUCAUUCCUGUUUUCAUUGAUUUCCCACAUGUAGUCCUUCUGCUCAGGAAGUCUUUGGGGAAAAUUAAGGCUCUUUGAGGCUCUGAAGUGGGUGAUCACGUUAGCAGUGUCUGUCCACUGUCUGAGAGGUUGGAAAAUGAACUACCCAAAAUAGUCAUCGAAGUACUAAAACGAAGUGUGAUUUUUCUCUUCAUAUUUGAAUUGAUUUUUUCUGUUGGACUGGAAGGGGUUUUUCUGUAACUAAAACCUCAACGCAUAAAGGGGGUUAAAAGGAGCACGUACCUUACUGGGUGAGCCGCGAACUAGAGAUGGGAUCUGGGGGUGCGUUUGUUACUGUCUGAGGUUUAACCCAGACGCCUCAGCACACCUUUGGGGAGUCACUGCUCAUGCGUCUCCUCCUUUUUGCAAAGAGAGGGCUGGCUUAGUUAUUGGAUAAAGCCCCUUCCAGGCCUGAAUUCCUCGACUAUGAUUUACUGUGGUGUCUUAACACUCUUUCAUGUCACAGCAGCGUGGAGCUUUAGAGAAAAGCCUAGACUUUUAGUUGAUAGAGAGCCAGCUGAAAUAUCACUGAUAGACUUUUAGUUUUAGGAAAAGUUGGUUUGAUUUCUAGCUUUGUUACUAUUAGGUAUGUGAGCUUGGGCAAAUCGCUUGAUCUCAGUCUAGUUUUCUCAUGUACACGAUGAGGACAUUAGGCUAAAUGAUUUCCGAGUUUCCAGCUAGUCCUAGAGUUCUAUAUUUCUACAUAGUUGAAUUAUUUUAUCAUGCUGUUGCUGGGGAAUAUGACUAACACUUUUGAAGCUACUAAUUUUAUGUCGAGCUUUAAAGUCCAUAAUUGUUAUCUUCAGAAAAUAUUAUUUGACCUACAGUAUGUCCAAAUCAAUUUAAUAAAAUCACUUUAUAACAGGGUUCUGUGCUUGA